UUUGGGAUUCACUCACCUGUCCAGAUUCCAAAUGCUUCCGAAAUUUAUAUAACAUUACACAAUUCUCAACAGGUCUUGGAAACUUUGGAGCAGAGCCAUAUCCACCGAAUUUUGGAUCAUAACUGCCUGCUAACUGCAUAGAUAUGAGCUGAGAAUCUGUAAGCGCACAUAUAUCUGAUGAAUAAUGAUGCUAGUAAGAAAAUAAUGAAAAAGUAAGUUGUGCAACCCAAGGUUUUCAGGCUCUCUAUAAGCUUCAUUCCAUAAGCAGUGUUUUUCACAAAAAAAAAAGGUCACAACUACAACAUAGUUGGCUGCUUACAUAUACUAAUUGACCAGAACAAAAUCCUUGUAUGCUGAUAUUCAAUUCUAAUUCAGAAGUGUAUCAAUGCAAUAUGUCAAAAAAGAGUGUACCAGUACAGGGAAAAACAAUGUUGAUAGACUACUCAAUAAUAACAUAAGAAUAAAGACAUACAAAUAUGUACCAUCAGCCAUCGCAUGUUCAAACAUAAACACCUGCAAUUGAAGACCUUAUAUUAUUUUUAUCCCUAUUUUUGAACCUCGUCUACAUCAGGCACAUUUGUAGAAGUUCAGACAACAGAGCAAAGUCCAUUUUGUGACAGCACUUUUGAAAAGUUCAUCUUGCUUAACCACAUAUGAACCUAAGAUACUGAUUUGAUCUAACCAAGCUUCCGGAGCAUACAAGUAUAGGAUGUUUGUAUCACUAAACUGUGACGCAAAUCUUACAAGGCUAGGAUUCAUCAUCCUAAAAAAAUAAAUAAUCUAGCUACUGCAAUACUGUUACACCAUUAAAGAAAUCAAUUUGGUCAGUCAGUUUCAAGUAGACCAUGCCAGAGUUUAUAAAUAUGAUAGCGUGGAUAUAUAUGGAGUAUUUCUCGAACCUUUUCAACACAAUUAUCCACAGAAACAACAGCCAGAUCAUUUGGCAUAUCUUGAGAGCUAGCUUUAGCAGAUAAUGCAUCUCGCAGUUGUUUGAUGACCACAUUUCCUGUCUUCUCAAGCGCAUCGCGUUUAGUUUCCCAGGCCUCCUUAACCUUC
rnacentral:lncRNA from 1 species